GUAGGGGGCAAGCGUUAUCCGGAUUUACUAGGCGUAAAGAGCGCGUAGGCGGCUUCUUAAGUUGGCAGUGAAAGAUUCCGGCUCAACUGGGAUAAGCCUGUCAAUACUGGGAGGCUUGAGGGCACCAGAGGAAAGUGGAACUCGCGGUGUAGCGGUGAAAUGCGCAGAUAUCAGGAAGAACACCAGUGGCGAAGGCGGCUUUCUGGGCUGUUACUGACACUGAGGCGCGAAAGCUAGGGGAGCGAACAGGAUUAGAUACCCUGGUAGUCCUAGCUGUAAACGAUGGAUACUAGGUGUGGGAAGUUAUCGACGCUUUCCGUGCCGAAGCUAACGCAUUAAGUAUCCCGCCUGGGGAGUACGGCCGCAAGGCUA
rnacentral:rRNA from 1 species